UACGAGGGGGGCAAGCGUUUGUUCGGAAUUAUUGGGCGUAAAGGGCGCGUAGGCGGUGCGGUAAGUCACCUGUGAAAACUCCGGGCUCAACUCGGAGCCUGCAGGCGAAACUGCCGUGCUGGAGUGUGGGAGAGGUGCGUGGAAUUCCCGGUGUAGCGGUGAAAUGCGUAGAUAUUGGGAGGAACACCUGUGGCGAAAGCGGCGCACUGGACCACAACUGACGCUGAGGCGCGAAAGCUAGGGGAGCAAACAGG
rnacentral:rRNA from 1 species